rnacentral:rRNA from 1 species
UACGUAGGGCGCAAGCGUUAUCCGGAAUUAUUGGGCGUAAAGCGCGCGCAGGCGGUCCUUUAAGUCUGAUGUGAAAGCCCACGGCUCAACCGUGGAGGGUCAUUGGAAACUGGGGGACUUGAGUGCAGGAGAGAAGAGUGGAAUUCCUGGUGUAGCGGUGAAAUGCGCAGAUAUCAGGAGGAACACCAAUUGCGAAGGCAGCUCGCUGGGACGUUACUGACGCUGAGACGCGAAAGCGUGGGGAGCAAACAGG